rnacentral:rRNA from 1 species
GAUGAACGCUAGCGGCAGGCCUAACACAUGCAAGUCGAGGGGCAUCAUGGCGUAGCAAUACGCUGAUGGCGACCGGCGCACGGGUGCGUAACGCGUAUGGAACCUACCCACCGCAGGGGGAGUAACCCGCCGAAAGGCGGACUAAUACCCCAUGGUUCCCCGACCCUGCCUGGGGUUGGGGGUAAAGCCUACGGGCGGCGGUGGAUGGCCCUGCGUGCCAUUAGCUGGCUGGUGGGGUAACGGCCCACCAGGGCGACGAUGGCUAGGGGGUCUGAGAGGACGAUCCCCCACACUGGUACUGAGACACGGACCAGACUCCUACGGGAGGCAGCAGUGAGGAAUAUUGGUCAAUGGGCGGAAGCCUGAACCAGCCAUGCCGCGUGCAGGAUGACGGCCCUACGGGUUGUAAACUGCUUUUCCAGGGAGAGAAACUUACGCACGUGUUGCGUGACUGACGGUACCCUGGGAAUAAGCAUCGGCUAACUCCGUG